UACGGGGGGGGCAAGCGUUGUUCGGAUUUACUGGGCGUAAAGGGCUCGUAGGCGGCCAACUAAGUCAGACGUGAAAUCCCUCGGCUUAACCGGGGAACUGCGUCUGAUACUGGAUGGCUUGAGUUUGGGAGAGGGAUGCGGAAUUCCAGGUGUAGCGGUGAAAUGCGUAGAUAUCGGGAGGAAUACCAGCGGCGAAGGCGGCCUUCUGGACGGUGACUGACGCUGAGACGCGAAAGCGUGGGGAGCAAACAGG
rnacentral:rRNA from 1 species